rnacentral:sRNA from 1 species
GUAUUCUCCACUGGUUGAAUGCAAAUGGAAGCCAGAGGAAAAGGGAACCCUUGACACAGUUUUCAUAUAGACUGGCCUCCAGGGCAGACAGCAGUUGCUCUGGCUGUAUCAAAUAAAAGUGUCAAGAGUGAGCAUCCUUGCAUUGUGCUGAAUCACAGAGGAAUACCUUUCAAUUUUUCUCCAUUGACUAUGAUAGCAGUGGGCUUUUCACAUGUGGGCUUUACUGUGUUGAGGAGGAGGUCUGAUGGCCGGGAGGAUGGGAAGAAGGAACCCACAAUGAAGCAAAAGUCACGUUUAACUCUGUCCUCACCAUUCCUCUCCUGGGCCUGUCCUAAACUGGAAGCUGGGGGAGGAUGGAGUGCUGGAAUGCUGUAGAAGUCUCAUGGGAGGGCGCCUGGUGUUCACCACAUGUGUACACUGUUGCACGACCAG